GAAGGUGGCCUGUGAGGGUUGCUGGAGGUAUCAGAAGUGCGAAUGCUGACAUAAGUAACGAUAAAGCGGGUGAAAAGCCCGCUCGCCGGAAGACCAAGGGUUCCUGUCCAACGUUAAUCGGGGCAGGGUGAGUCGACCCCUAAGGCGAGGCCGAAAGGCGUAGUCGAUGGGAAACGGGUUAAUAUUCCCGUACUUGGUGUUACUGCGAAGGGGGGACGGAGAAGGCUAUGUUGGCCGGGCGACGGUUGUCCCGGUUUAAGCGUGUAGGUGUGUGUUCCAGGUAAAUCCGGUUCACUUUAACACUGAGGCGUGACGACGAGGCACUACGGUGCUGAAGCAACAAAUGCCCUGCUUCCAGGAAAAGCCUCUAAGCAUCAGGUAACAUCAAAUCGUACCCCAAACCGACACAGGUGGUCAGGUAGAGAAUACCAAGGCGCUUGAGAGAACUCGGGUGAAGGAACUAGGCAAAAUGGUGCCGUAACUUCGGGAGAAGGCACGCUGACACGUAGGUGAAGUGAUUUACUCAUGGAGCUGAAGUCAGUCGAAGAUACCAGCUGGCUGCAACUGUUUAUUAAAAACACAGCACUGUGCAAACACGAAAGUGGACGUAUACGGUGUGACGCCUGCCCGGUGCCGGAAGGUUAAUUGAUGGGGUCAGCGCAAGCGAAGCUCCUGAUCGAAGCCCCGGUAAACGGCGGCCGUAACUAUAACGGUCCUAAGGUAGCGAAAUUCCUUGUCGGGUAAGUUCCGACCUGCACGAAUGGCGUAAUGAUGGCCAGGCUGUCUCCACCCGAGACUCAGUGAAAUUGAACUCGCUGUGAAGAUGCAGUGUACCCGCGGCAAGACGGAAAGACCCCGUGAACCUUUACUAUAGCUUGACACUGAACAUUGAGCCUUGAUGUGUAGGAUAGGUGGGAGGCUUUGAAGUGUGGACGCCAGUCUGCAUGGAGCCGACCUUGAAAUACCACCCUUUAAUGUUUGAUGUUCUAAC
rnacentral:rRNA from 1 species